rnacentral:rRNA from 1 species
AAUAGAUACCCGGGUAGUCCACGCCGUAAACGAUGAGUGCUAAGUGUUAGAGGGUUUCCGCCCUUUAGUGCUGCAGCUAACGCAUUAAGCACUCCGCCUGGGGAGUACGGUCGCAAGACUGAAACUCAAAGGAAUUGACGGGGGCCCGCACAAGCGGUGGAGCAUGUGGUUUAAUUCGAAGCAACGCGAAGAACCUUACCAGGUCUUGACAUCCCACUGACCGGUAUAGAGAUAUACCUUUCCCUUCGGGGACAGUGGUGACAGGUGGUGCAUGGUUGUCGUCAGCUCGUGUCGUGAGAUGUUGGGUUAAGUCCCGCAACGAGCGCAGCCCUUGAUCUUAGUUGCCAGCAUUUAGUUGGGCACUCUAAGGUGACUGCCGGUGACAAACCGGAGGAAGUGGGGAUGACGUCAAAUCAUCAUGCCCCUUAUGACCUGGGCUACACACGUGCUACAAUGGAUGGUACAAAGGGCUGCAAGACUGCGAAGUCAAGCCAAUCCCAUAAAACCAUUCUCAGUUCGGAUUGC